rnacentral:rRNA from 1 species
CGACUACACAUGCAGUCGAGCGGCAGCGGAAGUAGCUUGCUACUUUGCCGGCGAGCGGCGGACGGGUGAGUAGUGUCUGGGAAACUGCCUGAUGGAGGGGGAUAACUACUGGAAACGGUAGCUAAUACCGCAUAACGUCGCAAGACCAAAGAGGGGGACCUUCGGGCCUCUUGCCAUCAGAUGUGCCCAGAUGGGAUUAGCUAGUAGGUGGGGUAACGGCUCACCUAGGCCACGAUCCCUAUCUGGUCUGAGAGGAUGACCAGCCACACUGGAACUGAGACACGGUCCAGACUCCUACGGGAGGCAGCAGUGGGGAAUAUUGCACAAUGGGCGCAAGCCUGAUGCACCCAUGCCGCGUGUAUGAAGAAGGCCUUCGGGUUGUAAAGUACUUUCAGCGGGGAGGAAGGUGGUGAGGUUAAUAACCUCACCAAUUGACGUUACCCGCAAAAGAAGCACCGGCUAACUCCGUGCCAGCAACCGCGGUAAUACGGAGGGUGCAAGCGUUAAUCGGAAUUACUGGGCGUAAAGCGCACGCAGGCGGUCUGUCAAGUCGGAUGUGAAAUCCCCGGGCUCAACCUGGGAACUGCAUUCGAAACUGGCAGGCUAGAGUCUUGUAGAGGGGGGUAGAAUUCCGGGUGUAGCGGUGAARUGCGUAGAGAUCUGGAGGAAUACCGGUGGCGAGCGCGGCCCCCUGGACAAAGACUGACCCUCAUGUGCGAAAGCGUGGGGAGCAAACAGGAUUAKAUACCCUGGUAGUCCACGCCGUACACGAUGUCGACUUGGAGGUUGUGCCCUUGAGGCGUGUCUUCCGGACCUAACGCGUUAAGUCCACCGCCUGGGGAGUACGGCCGCARGGUUAAAACUCAUAUGAAUUGACGGGGGCCCGCACAAGCGGGGGAGCAUGUGGUUUAAUUUCGAUGCCACGCGAAGAACCUUACCUACUCUUGACAUCCAGAGAACUUUCCAGAAAUGUAUUGGGGCCUUCGGGAACUCUGAAACGGGGUGCUGCAUGUCUGUCGUCACCUCGUGUUGAGAAAUGUUGGGUUAAGUCCCGACAACGAGCCCCACCCCAUUACUCCUUUUGUCGCCCAGGGGUUUCGGGCCGGAAUCUCAAAGAAACCUGCCCGUGAUAAAUCUGGGAAGGAAAGGGGGGGGAGAUAAUGAAACC